rnacentral:rRNA from 1 species
AUGAACGCUAGCUACAGGCUUAACACAUGCAAGUCGAGGGGCAGCAUUUCAGUUUGCUUGCAAACUGGAGAUGGCGACCGGCGCACGGGUGAGUAACACGUAUCCAACCUGCCGAUAACUCGGGGAUAGCCUUUCGAAAGAAAGAUUAAUACCCGAUGGCAUAAUUAGACCGCAUGGUCUUAUUAUUAAAGAAUUUCGGUUAUCGAUGGGGAUGCGUUCCAUUAGGCAGUUGGUGAGGUAACGGCUCACCAAACCUUCGAUGGAUAGGGGUUCUGAGAGGAAGGUCCCCCACAUUGGAACUGAGACACGGUCCAAACUCCUACGGGAGGCAGCAGUGAGGAAUAUUGGUCAAUGGGCGCAGGCCUGAACCAGCCAAGUAGCGUGAAGGAUGACUGCCCUAUGGGUUGUAAACUUCUUUUAUAUGGGAAUAAAGUUUUCCACGUGUGGAAUUUUGUAUGUACCAUAUGAAUAAGGAUCGGCUAACUCCGUGCCAGCAGCCGCGGUAAUACGGAGGAUCCGAGCGUUAUCCGGAUUUAUUGGGUUUAAAGGGAGCGUAGGUGGACAGUUAAGUCAGUUGUGAAAGUUUGCGGCUCAACCGUAAAAUUGCAGUUGAUACUGGCUGUCUUGAGUACAGUAGAGGUGGGCGGAAUUCGUGGUGUAGCGGUGAAAUGCUUAGAUAUCACGAAGAACUCCGAUUGCGAAGGCAGCUCACUGGACUGCAACUGACACUGAUGCUCGAAAGUGUGGGUAUCAAACAGGAUUAGAUACCCUGGUAGUCCACACAGUAAACGAUGAAUACUCGCUGUUUGCGAUAUACAGUAAGCGGCCAAGCGAAAGCAUUAAGUAUUCCACCUGGGGAGUACGCCGGCAACGGUGAAACUCAAAGGAAUUGACGGGGGCCCGCACAAGCGGAGGAACAUGUGGUUUAAUUCGAUGAUACGCGAGGAACCUUACCCGGGCUUAAAUUGCAUUUGAAUAAUCUGGAAACAGGUUGGCCGCAAGGCAAAUGUGAAGGUGCUGCAUGGUUGUCGUCAGCUCGUGCCGUGAGGUGUCGGCUUAAGUGCCAUAACGAGCGCAACCCUUAUCUUUAGUUACUAACAGGUCAUGCUGAGGACUCUAGAGAGACUGCCGUCGUAAGAUGUGAGGAAGGUGGGGAUGACGUCAAAUCAGCACGGCCCUUACGUCCGGGGCUACACACGUGUUACAAUGGGGGGUACAGAAGGCAGCUACCUGGUGACAGGAUGCUAAUCCCAAAAGCCUCUCUCAGUUCGGAUCGAAGUCUGCAACCCGACUUCGUGAAGCUGGAUUCGCUAGUAAUCGCGCAUCAGCCAUGGCGCGGUGAAUACGUUCCCGGGCCUUGUACACACCGCCCGUCAAGCCAUGAAAGCCGGGGGUACCUGAAGUACGUAACCGCAAGGAGCGUCCUAGGGUAAAACUGGUAAAAGG